AUGUAUGCUGCAGGCCAUGCCCCAGUACAAAACAGCACAACCAGAUACAGACAUCACGGCCGGGUUGAGACGAGACGGGGAAGUGACAGGAAUACGGAUCCUCACACGAAGCUUUUUACACUCCUUCAAAUGCAGCCCUGCGUCGUACUCCUCCUCACCCUAGCCAUCCUCCCGAGCCUCGUAGCCAGCACCACCUCAUCUCUCAUCAACACAACGUGCUCGAAGGCUCCUAAUGUGUCCUACGACCAUUGUGUCAACGUGCUCUCGGCCGAUCCAGCCGGUGCCUCCGCCACGGACAAGCGCAGGCUGCUCAUCGCCGCCGCUAAACAAACUGUGCACAGUGUGACAUCCACGGUGCAUAUCAUGAGCGACCUAAUACAAGAGCUCAACACUUGCAUCCAAUAUUACCAACGUAUGGGUGAGUUCACGGUGGGCGCCAUCGAUGAUCUCCGAGCAGGACGAGAUGCUGGACUCAUAUAUCCAAAGUUACGGGAGGCCUCUGAUGAGCCCCUAAGGUGUGAUACAGCGUUCUUUCACGGAGUCAAGAAGAAUCUCAUGGAGAAAGAGAACUCAGAGAACAAAAAUUUGGCCCACUUGGCCAGUAGCAUCACAUUUCUGUUGUUCAAUCGGCGUUGUUAG
rnacentral:rRNA from 1 species